rnacentral:rRNA from 1 species
AGGACGAACGCUGGCGGCGUGCUUAACACAUGCAAGUCGAGCGGAAAGGCCCUUCGGGGUACUCGAGCGGCGAACGGGUGAGUAACACGUGAGCAACCUGCCCUUAGCUCCGGGAUAGCUCCCGGGAAACCGGAAUUAAAUACCGGAUAUGACCUAGGCCGACAUCGGCUGUGGUGGAAAGUUUUUCGGCUGGGGAUGGACUCGCGGCCUAUCAGCUUGUUGGUGGGGUAAUGGCCUACCAAGGCGACGACGGGUA